UUACAGGUUCCUGAAAGAGAAAUGUCACAGAGAAGCUGGUUUAGUCACCUCCCCCCAUUCCAGGUAGUCCGGAUGGGCUACUGUCAUAGAGGGACAGUGCAGGUGGAAGCCGGUGUCAUCUGGGCGACCUUCUGUUAUAAGAAAUGGAGUGGAACCCACAUCUUCCUUUCUGUUCGCUGUCAAGAGAUGGACAAUUUUUUUUAACAGUCGGCACAAAAAAUAUUGCCAUGUUUGCCUGUGUGUCGUGAGACCCUGUUUGUGAAAUACGUCCUGCUGAGAUAUGUCAAUAAAAUGUCGCAC